rnacentral:rRNA from 1 species
AUAAGGAAAGUAAACAAGGGCGCAUGGCGGAUGCCUUGGCUCUCGGAGGCGAUGAAGGACGUGAUAAGCUGCGAUAAGCUCCGGGGAGGUGCAAAUAACCUUUGAUCCGGGGAUUUCCGAAUGGGACAACCCGGCGUGUUGAAGACACGCCACCUGAUCAUUUCAGGAGCUAACGCAGGGAACUGAAACAUCUUAGUACCUGCAGGAAAAGAAAAUAACAAUGAUUCCCCCAGUAGUGGCGAGCGAACGGGGAAUAGCCCAAACCGUUCAUGUUACGGCAUGAUCGGGGUUGUAGGACUACGUCGUUGCAUGAAGACAUCGGAGAAGAACUUUCUGGAAAGAAAGACCAUAGAGCAUGACAGUUGCGUAUUCGUAUGUUGUCGAAGCAUAGUAGUAUCCUGAGUAGCGCGGAGCACGAGGAAUUCUGCGUGAAUCUGCCGGGACCAUCCGGUAAGGCUAAAUACUCCCGAGAGACCGAUAGCGAACCAGUACCGUGAGGGAAAGGUGAAAAGCACUUCGAACAGAAGAGUGAAAUAGUUCCUGAAACCGUGCGCCUACAAGCGGUCGGAGCUCAGCAAUGAGUGACGGCGUGCCUUUUGCAUAAUGAACCUACGAGUUGCCUUUGCCGGCAAGGUUAAGUGUGACGACACACGUAUCCGAAGCGAAAGCGAGUCUGAAGAGGGCGUAUAGUCGGCAGUGGCAGACGCGAAACCAAGUGAUCUACCCUUGGCCAGGUUGAAGGCUGGGUAACACCAGCUGGAGGACCGCACCAAUAAGCGUUGAAAAGCUUCUGGAUGAGCUGAGGGUAGGGGUGAAAGGCUAAUCAAACUUGGAGAUAGCUCGUACUCCCCGAAAUGCAUUUAGGUGCAGCCUUGUGGGUUACUGAUGUGAGGUAGAGCGACUGAUAAGAUGCGAGGGCUUCACCGCCUAUCAAGUCUUGACAAACUCCGAAUGCGCAUCAGUUUUACCUCAGGAGUGAGGGCAUGGGUGCUAAGGUCCGUGCCCGAGAGGAGAAGAAUCCGGACCACCUGCUAAGGUCCCGAAAUGACAGCUAAGUUAAACUAACGAAGUCUGACUGCUAAGACAGCUAGGAUGUUGGCUUGGAAGCAGCCAUUCAUUUAAAGAGUGCGUAACAGCUCACUAGUCGAGGAGUCUGGCGUGGAUAAUAAUCGGGUAUUAAGUUGUCUACCGAAGCAGUGGGAUCAUUGAAAUGAUCGGUAGGGGAGCAUUCCAGUCAGCGUCGAAGGCGUACCGCGAGGUAUUCUGGAGCGUCUGGAAAAGCAAAUGUAGGUAUAAGUAACGAUAAAGGGGGCGGGAAACCCCCUCGCCGAAAGACUAAGGUUUCCUGAUCAACGCUAAUCGGAUCAGGGUAAGUCGGGUCCUAAGGCUCAGCCGAAGGGCGAUGCCGAUGGCAGAAACGGUUAAUAUUCCGUUACUACCUCCAGGAGUGAUGUGGAGACGCAGUAGUGACAAUGCCGCCAUCUGACGGAAUAGAUGGUUGAAGGGUGUAGAUGUUGAUCUUGGCAGGCAAAUCCACCAUGAGAAUCGAACCUGAUAGUAUGCCGCGUCCCUCGGGACAAGGCAAUAGUGCAUGUAAUCAUGCUGCCAAGAAAAUCCGCUAAACUAAAUCCUGUAGGUACCCGUACCGUAAACGGACACACGUAGUCGGGAUGAAUAUUCUAAGGCGCUUGAGUGAUUCACGGUUAAGGAACUAGGCAAACUGACCCUGUAACUUCGGGAUAAAGGGUCCCUACCCGGUGACGGGAGGGCGCAGAGAAUAGGUCCAGGCAACUGUUUAACAAAAACACAGGGCUGUGCUAAAUCGAAAGAUCCUGUAUACAGCCUGACACCUGCCCGGUGCUGGAAGGUUAAGAGGAGACGUCAUCGUUGAGAGAAGCGUUGAAUUGAAGCCCCAGUAAACGGCGGCCGUAACUAUAACGGUCCUAAGGUAGCGAAAUUCCUUGUCGGGUAAGUUCCGACCUGCACGAAUGG